GAGGAGGCAGAGCUUAAACGAUGCCCAAUCGCCAAGGGCCUGUACACCUUUUGUGCGACCUACAGGUUUGUGGCAUCGGUGUACCUCCAGGCUGACAUAUUGCCACAUCUUGCACGGCUUUCAAAAGUCUUCCAAAAGGCAAAUGUCAACUUCCUUCACAUCAAGGAGCAGGUUCCCAUAACAAUUGAGACCCUCAGACGCAUCAAGGAUGCAGGUGAGACUCCACUCCCUGGGUCCUUCCUGUCCCGUCUCCACCAAGACCUUGAUGACCCCCUUGCACUCGGAGACUUCAUGAUCCAUCAUGAGGAGGAGAGGAACAGGAGAGGACAGGGUGUUGAAGACUUGCCACAGGAGGAGCAGUGGGCAAAAUUUGUGAAAGAGGUUGCCAGUCCUUACAUCAGUGGCCUGCUACACCACCUAGAAAGGAGAUUCCAGAAUCUCAAUAUCAUUGGGGCCUUCAGCAUUUUGGGACCACAGGCAGCUGCCCUAGCUGAUGAAGAGCAAAACACCCACCUUCAGACACUGGCAAAAAGGUUUCUUCCUGGAAAGGAGACCUUGAUAUUCCAGGAGUGGCAGUCCUUCAAAG
rnacentral:lncRNA from 1 species